rnacentral:rRNA from 1 species
CCUACGGGCGGCUGCAGUGGGGAAUAUUGCACAAUGGGCGCAAGCCUGAUGCAGCCAUGCCGCGUGUGUGAAGAAGGCCUUCGGGUUGUAAAGCACUUUCAGCGGGGAGGAAGGCGGUGAGGUUAAUAACCUCAUCGAUUGACAUUACCCGCAGAAGAAGCACCGGCUAACUCCGUGCCAGCAGCCGCGGUAAUACGGAGGGUGCAAGCGUUAAUCGGAAUUACUGGGCGUAAAGCGCACGCAGGCGGUCUGUCAAGUCGGAUGUGAAAUCCCCGGGCUCAACCUGGGAACUGCAUUCGAAACUGGCAGGCUAGAGUCUUGUAGAGGGGGGUAGAAUUCCAGGUGUAGCGGUGAAAUGCGUAGAGAUCUGGAGGAAUACCGGUGGCGAAGGCGGCCCCCUGGACAAAGACUGACGCUCAGGUGCGAAAGCGUGGGGAGCAAACAGGAUUAGAUACCCCUGUAGUC